AUGUAUAGGAAUGGCUAUAGCUCUCUAAUAUGUUUGCUUCAUGACUUAAAUCGAAAUUAGAAUAAAAUUUGAAUAUGAGGAGAGAGUAGAGGUUGGACUUUGGUGGACUAAGACAUUAGCUGUCAUGCCUCCGACCCAAGAUUAUGAGUCGAAGGUCAUGACAACCGCCGCAUACUCAUAGAAAGCUUUUCUUAUAAGCAUGCAAGGCAUCUCAUCAUGACAUCAUACAUAUAAAGUUAAAUAAAUUUCAAUCUUAAUGAUCAAACCUUAGUUCAAAUAAUAAAUCAAAACUCAGUGU
rnacentral:lncRNA from 1 species